AAAAAAUGUCACUCUUUAUAAGUGUGUUUGGGAAAACAGUUUGGUUUUAGUUUGCUCUGGUAUUCAGGGAUCCUAAAGAAGAGAACUGAGCCUUAGUAACAUUCUUCUCCCAAUCCAGACCAAAAGGGUUUUACCCUCCUGUUGCCUUUUGGUGACAUCAAGUCCUCCUCAACAGCUGAUUUAGCUUGGGAUCAUAGGCCCAAGAACAGCCUACCAACA
rnacentral:lncRNA from 12 species